rnacentral:rRNA from 1 species
GACGAACGCUGGCGGCGUGCCUAACACAUGCAAGUCGAACGGAACUUACCGAAUGAAGUCUUCGGAUGGAUUUUGAUAGGUUUAGUGGCGGACGGGUGAGUAACGCGUGAGGAACCUGCCUCGGAGUGGGGAAUAACAGUUGGAAACAGCUGCUAAUACCGCAUAAUGCUUUUGAGCGGCAUCGCUUGAAAGCCAAAGAUUUAUCGCUGAAAGAUGGUCUCGCGUCUGAUUAGCUAGUUGGUGAGGUAACGGCUCACCAAGGCGACGAUCAGUAGCCGGACUGAGAGGUUGAACGGCCACAUUGGGACUGAGACACGGCCCAG